UUUGAAAUUUUGAAAUUAUGCAAAUUCCAUAAUUAAAAUUAUCCCAGAUGCUAAUUAAGACCAAACAACAAAUUGGCAGUAUUUGGCCACAGCCUUUAAUAUUAUAUUCUCAUAAUUUAUACAUGUUGUAUAUAACUGAAAAAUGAGGUUACCCGCAUAUUGCUGAUUAUGGCAACCGUACUGUCAUAUAUAUAUAUAUAUAUAUAUCAUAUAUAUAUAUAUAUAUAUAUAUAAAUUACUACCACAGAUAAUGGUAACUGAAGAUAGGAUUAAAACAAUUUGGAAAUCACCGUGGGAACACAGGUGAUGGAUCGAAACCCUUACAUUGUUCAUCUAGAUCUGUAGUAAAUGAUCCUAUUCAUAAAACAAAAUGUUUUUUGAUGCAGCGAAUUAUGCAAAUCACAGGCCUAAUAAAUUCAAAGUCUUUGUUGGAAGGUUCGAUAACUUCGAUCAGACUUCUUCACAGGUCCUGUCUGUCCAAAUGGCCAAAUACAUAUAGGUGUUCAAACAAUUGACAACUGAAACAUCACCUGAAAUUAUAAAUUACAACACAGGCAGUAUCUUAUUCUAAUACAUUGUAUUUACAAUAAAUAUACAUUUCGGGAGGAGGGAGGGAUUUUGAAUAAAAUUUUCCUCUGAUAACAACAAGUUAUUUAAGCAGCCUCUCCUGUUGGACCCGAAUUAAAAAGGGAUCGUGACGUCAAAUUGUAUGGUUCACUAACCACCAAUGAAAUUUGAGUUUUCCUAAACUCACUAAUAACCAACCAAUGUAAUAGUACAGCGCACCGUGAUAACUGAAUUUAAGUACAGGACUUAAAUUCUAUUAUCCCAGAUGCUAAUUAAGACCAAACAACAAAUUGGCAGUAUUUGGCCACAGCCUUUAAUAUUAUAUUCUCAUAAUUUAUACAUGUUGUAUAUAACUGAAAAAUGAGGUUACCCGCAUAUUGCUGAUUAUGGCAACCGUACUGUCAUAUAUAUAUAUAUAUAAAUUACUACCACAGAUAAUGGUAACUGAAGAUAGGAUUAAAACAAUUUGGAAAUCACCGUGGGAACACAGGUGAUGGAUCGAAACCCUUACAUUGUUCAUCUAGAUCUGUAGUAAAUGAUCCUAUUCAUAAAACAAAAUGUUUUUUGAUGCAGCGAAUUAUGCCAGAUUGACAGUGAAACAGAAUAUAAUGAUUCAUUGUCAACCGCCAUAUAAUGGAGGUUCGCUGCCAAGCUGUGAGCCAAAUACAUCCACUAAAAAUCAAAGCAAACUUCAAGUUACAUGUAACUACUAGUAAAGUUGCUGAAUAAAAAAAUACAAAAAAAAAAAAA
rnacentral:lncRNA from 1 species